rnacentral:rRNA from 1 species
UACGGAGGGGGCUAGCGUUGUUCGGAAUUACUGGGCGUAAAGCGUACGUAGGCGGCUUUGUAAGUUAGAGGUGAAAGCCCGGGGCUCAACCCCGGAAUUGCCUUUAAGACUGCAUCGCUUGAAUCGCGGAGAGGUGAGUGGAAUUCCGAGUGUAGAGGUGAAAUUCGUAGAUAUUCGGAAGAACACCAGUGGCGAAGGACGGCUCACUGG